GGCAGCCCGAGUGAUGGCCGAUAUUAUUGGGCCUAAAGCGUCCGUAGCUGGCCGGACAAGUCCGUUGGGAAAUCUGUUCGCUUAACGAGCAGGCGUCCAGCGGAAACUGUUCGGCUUGGGACCGGAAGACCUGAGGGGUACGUCCGGGGUAGGAGUGAAAUCCUGUAAUCCUGGACGGACCACCGGUGGCGAAAGCGCCUCAGGAGGACGGAUCCGACAGUGAGGGACGAAAGCUAGGGUCUCGAACCGG
rnacentral:rRNA from 1 species